UGCAGCUUGGUAACUGCAGUUUGCAGCAUGCAUUGCUGUCCUGCGACCACUUUGCAACCUUUCACUGUAAAUCAAGAGAAGGAAGACAAGUCAAUGGAGAUGGAAGGACGAAGUGACAGGGCUGGUGAGAAAGACUUAGCAGAUUUUACCAGAAGUCACACUUGUGUGGAUGAAGAGGUUAGAUAAGUUUCUUAGUAAAGGAAACAGAACACUUCUUUCUGUGUACACUGAAGACUGUCUGUGGAAGCCAGCCGCCACAAGACACACCACACCCUUUCCACAAGAAACCAAGACUUCGUGGACCCAAGCUUGCCUGUUUUGUCAGUAUCUUUGGGGUCAAAGAUGCAGAGAAAUGAAAUCACACCCCUACAAUACAUCAUUCUGUGACUGUGUGAUGUCUUUGAGACUUUACCCAGGACUUUAUUCUUUCUAAAGGCUCAUAGUAUUCUACUGUCUUUACGAACCCUGUGGUACUUUAAUGUCUCCCAUUACUUUUGGGCAUUUGAAUCCUUGGUUUCCAGAUGGUGAAACUCUUUGGGGGAGGUUUAGGAUGUGUGGCUUUGCUAGAGGAAGUGUUGUCCCUGGGGGGUGAGCUUUAAGAGUUUAAACCCUCAAGUCACUUCCAGUUAACUCUCUUUGCUUUGUGGAUGUGUCCGACUUUCCGAGUUUGAAUCCCGUCCCUGUGACUCUCAGUGAGUCUCAUGGAAAAAAAAAAAAUAAAGAACGUGGGCAGCACAGUCCCAUGGGAUGAAUAUUUGU